AAGAGAUAUGAUCUGAAAAGUGAGGGGAAAAAAAGAAUGGAGUACUUUGAAGAGAAGCUAAAAUGUGGAAUGUUUCACCUUAAAGAUCUAGUUCCAGGACCCCGAUUUCUCUAGAAAUCCACAGCAACACUUGAACCGCUGAACAAAUACAGUCUGGAUUCCUGAGACCAAAGGGCUCGGGAAAAUCGCUGAAAACCCGCUAUACUGGAACAGCUGCUCUCUGCCAGAACAUCAAUCAAAGGGCAGCUUACUGGAACCUUGAAGACCACCUAAGGAGCUACUUCCCCUGUUUUAAGAUAAACUGAAGCCCAGAAGUGUAUUGUGGAAGCUGGAGUCAGAGUUUGACUCCUGAUCCUCUCACUGAAUGUGUGGAGGCCCCCCAAAAUCUCAUGUUCCUGGGAGAAGUUAGCUGACUUUUCAAUUUUUCUUAGUGCUGGAAAGUCAUCCGUGGAGGAUGAAGUCAUCCAAGA